GGAUGCGAUCGUACCAGCACUGAAGCACCGGAUCCCAUCAGAACUCUGAAGUUAAGCAUGCUUGGGAGAGAGUAGUACUAGGAUGGGUGACCUCCUGGGAAGUCCUCGUGGUGCAUUCC
rnacentral:rRNA from 1 species